GUCUGUGGCCAUGCCACCCUGAACAAGCCCAAAAUCCUGAUUUAGGAAGCUAAGCAGGGUCAGGCCUGGUUAGUACUUGGAUGGGAGACCACCUAGGAAGACCAGGUGCUAUAGGCA
rnacentral:rRNA from 1 species